UAUAAGUAUAGGUAUAGGCAUAAACCCCAAAUUUUAUGGAGAUUACGAAUUUUUGUUUAAUUUGACGUCAGCUCAAUGGUUGAGGCGCUUUCACGAACUUCCGGUUUACUUCCGGAAAAUUUGCAUGAAACUAGCAAGUGAGCUUUGUUCUAUGUAUAGUUCUAAGGAUUGAGUGCUAAGGUUUAGCAAACAAAAAAGCACUUUUCAAGUUUUGUGAGUAUCUCAGGACCAGUCCUUCAAAUACUGAGUUUUGAGACGUGUCAAAUAGAUGGCGUGUUGUUUGUGUCAGUCAUGGGCUAAUGGCGGUUUGCUGUCAAAAGUUACGCUAUUUUUUCUUCGAAAAUAACCAAAUACCAAUGAAUUCAUAGGAGGAAACGUAAAAAAGUCGUGCAGCUUAACUGUCAACUAUUUUGUUCAAAAUCAUUGUGUUUUACUGAAUGUGCCAUCAAAAUGAUACAGGAUUCAACAUAAUUAUCUGCUGUGUGUAUUGGACUUGCUAGAUCACCAACCCCAGCAUGGAAAAAUCUCUCAUUCCAUCAUCUAGAGAACCUUAUCAUCUGGAUAACUGAUUAGUGUUUUCAUGUAUUCUAAACUGCUGGUUUCUGAAUUUGCGUGGCAGACUUUAUGAAAAGUCCUGUCAUUUCAAGAAAGUCAACAAGGUCCGUUGUUUGCUGACCCGUUGGCUCCUACCCUCGAAUCCUCCUUAUUGACUUCUUUACACAGGCCCUCCUGAUUUGAGGGUAAUCCUUCGAUACUUGUCAUGGACUUCAUCCACUGGUGAAAACCGAAGAGAGAAUGCUGUAAUCCAAGACUGAUAAAUUUUGUUGUUAGAUUCAAUUACAAGUGCAUAUCUGGGCUCCCUUCUUUUCUGUGGCCCCGUUUCCCUAACUAACCACUAACCAACGCCCGCCGGUGGUCACUCACCCGCUGUGAAACCAGGAGGAGGGGAGGGCUCUGGUCGAACGGGGACUUGGAAGGCACAUGAUCCGAUGAAAACUUUUGGAGGGUCAUGAGUCUAACCCGGAAGCCUAGUAUGACUACAUCUCCCCGGAAAAACUUGCCUCGUACUUCUCUCUUCUUCUCGGUCCAGAUACAUAUCUCUGGGGGCCGUAGACAUUUCCUAUAACAGCAUGUGCGAGUUAAAACAAUGCAUCCACUACCCAAUGAAACAAAUAGCCAUGGUUUAUUUUUUGUGAAAAUCUCCGUCAGUUAAGUUACAAAGACGAUGCAGAUUUCCGCAAAACUAAACCAUCGCUUUUUGUCUCAUUGCCGCAGCGGUGGUGGCGGGUUGCGUUUUAACUCGUGCAGUAGUAAACCGUCUUGAACCGGACGCUCUGUUUAUUGGAUUUUUUGAACAUUUUAAAAUGAAAAUAAAAAUUAUUUCAUACA